rnacentral:lncRNA from 1 species
CGAGGAACUGGUACUGGGGCCUAGACCCCAGUAAUCUUUGAUUACCCAAAGGUGUAGUUUAGAAGCCUGUGAUUUGCAGACCGCGAGGCAAACGCUAGAACUCCAUUUCCCACGAGGUCUCGGGGCACCGGGUGGAGACUUCGUCCGACGAUGGGGGCGGCACUCGGUCGCUACCCGGAUGUAGCGCCUAGCCCGCGGAGCCUGCCCUGCCCAGCCCAGCAAGAGACGCCCGGGAGGCUUUACCCGCUGCGGUUGAACCGUGCAGGAGGACGACCACUUUGCUGGAUUCUUUUCCUCUAUAGGGAGAUUGGAAUAUUUAGAAGAAACUAGAAUUACAAGGUUAAAAGUGAGUGACUAACUUGGAAGGGAACCUUCUGAGGUAUUGGUUUCUGCAACUUCAGGCUUCUUCCAAUUUCCAAUCCUAGAGGCAUACUUAAUGAUCUCUGAGCUGAUCUGAUGUCUACUUCACAGUGCUACUGUGAAGCUUAAAUAAGAUAUGUGAAAGUAUUUUGCACAGUGCCUGUAACAGCCUUCCCCAUAGCAACUUAUUUUCCUGUGGGCCAUUCAUUACUGUGUAUUACUGUUUGCCUUUUUAGAAAAGUCCUGCCUUUUCCAUAGGAGUAUGAGCUUCUAUCAUAAUUUUUAACCUUUUUUUGAGUCCCUCUUAGCAGUGCAUUGUGCAUAUUAGCACCUGCCAGAGUGUGUGGGUGGUGGUGAUGAGGAGAAAGCUGUAGGUGAUCAUAGCUGGGCAGCCUAGUGAUGGUGGAUCUGGGAGCUGAACGAAAGAAGCUUUUCUCAUAUAAGUGAUGAACAAAGUAUUGGCUUUUCUCAGAGCUCCCAGCUGUUUAAAAACAUACUCUUAUUUUUUUGUAUUUUUAACCAUUUUAAGUGUACAGUAGUGUUAACUAUCUGCACAUUGUUGUACAACAGAUCUCUAUAGAGUUUUUUCCUCUUGAAAAACUGAAACUCUGUAUCCCUUAAACAACUCCCCAUUUCCCCCUCCCCAGCCCCUGGCAGCCGCCAUUCUUUGUUUCUAUGAAUUUUGACUCUUCUAGAUACCUUAUAUAAGGGGAAUUGUAGUAUUUGGCUUUUUGUGACUGGCUUAUUUCACUUAGCAUAAUGUCCUCAAGGUUCAUCUAUGUUGUAGUGUAUGAAGAGAUUUCCUUUUUCUUUUUAAGGCUGAGUAAAAUAUAUGUAUAUAUUAUAUAUGUAUUAUAUAUAUAUUCUUUAUCCAUUAUCCAUUGAUGGACAUUUAGGUUGCUUGCUUCUACCUCUUGGCUAUUGUGAAUAAUGAUGCAGUGAACAUGGGUGUGCAAUUAUCUGAGAGCUU